AUUUUGAUGGCUGAUAAAAGCAGUAGAUUGUAAAUCUACAUAUGAAUUUAAUUUCUCAAGGAA
rnacentral:tRNA from 1 species